rnacentral:rRNA from 1 species
UACGAAGGGGGCUAGCGUUGUCCGGAAUCACUGGGCGUAAAGGGCGCGUAGGCGGCUUUAUAAGUCGGGGGUGAAAGCCUGUGGCUCAACCACAGAAUUGCCUUCGAUACUGUAGAGCUUGAGACCGGAAGAGGUAAGUGGAACUGCGAGUGUAGAGGUGAAAUUCGUAGAUAUUCGCAAGAACACCAGUGGCGAAGGCGGCUCACUGGCCCGGUACUGACGCUGAGGUGCGAAAGCGUGGGGAGCAAACAGG